rnacentral:rRNA from 1 species
CUACGGGUGGCUGCAGUGGGGAAUAUUGCACAAUGGAGGAAACUCUGAUGCAGCAACGCCGCGUGGAGGAUGACACUUUUCGGAGCGUAAACUCCUUUUAUAUAGGAAGAAGAUGACGGUACUAUAUGAAUAAGCGCCGGCUAACUCCGUGCCAGCAGCCGCGGUAAUACGGAGGGGCAAGCGUUACUCGGAAUCACUGGGCGUAAAGAGCGUGUAGGCGGAUUAAAAAGUCAGAAGUGAAAUCCUAUAGCUUAACUAUAGAACUGCUUCUGAAACUGUUAAUCUAGAAUAUGGGAGAGGUAGAUGGAAUUUCUGGUGUAGGGGUAAAAUCCGUAGAGAUCAGAAGGAAUACCGAUUGCGAAGGCGAUCUACUAGAACAUUAUUGACGCUGAGACGCGAAAGCGUGGGGAGCAAACAGGAUUAGAUACCCCCGUAGUC